GAAAUAAACUGAUGUCUUUGAUUUUACAGGAUCAUAGUUGGAAGGAACUUGCCUUGUGUCAGAUGAGACUUUGGACUUUGAACUGCUGAGUUAAUGCUGAAUGAGUUAAGACUUUAAGGGACUAUUGGGAAGACAUUACUGCAUUUUGCAAUGUGAGAAGGACACGAGAUUUGAGGGUUUGGAGCAAAAUGAAGUCCCACCAAAAUCUCAUGUUGAAAUGUAAUCCCCAAUGUUGGAGAUGUUCCAGGCUUCCUGCCUUCCCCACCAGCAGAGAUUAGAUGUCUCUGAAAAGAAGCCCAAUCAAACCAACUUCCUUCAGAUGAUGGGCCAGGGGCACCGGCCUGGAUGCUGGCAAGGAAGUUGAAGGAGGAUUGGGUGCGGAUUAAGAGUAUACUAUGCAGAGCCAGACUGGGUUCAAAACCAGGAUUCAAAUCCCUGCUCUGAAACUUGGGUCUCAUUAGCUAACUCUCUCAUCAUUAAAAUGAAGAUAAUAACAAUAA